UACAGAGGUCUCAAGCGUUGUUCGGAAUCACUGGGCGUAAAGGGCGUGUAGGCGGUCAGGUAAGUGAGAUGUGAAAUGCCCCGGACUCACCCGGGGACCGGCAUCGUCAUACUGCUUGGCUUGAGUACGGGAGAGGAUGUGGGAAUUCCUGGUGUAGCGGUGGAAAUGCGUAGAUAUCAGGAGGAACACCGGUGGCGAAGGCGCACAUCGUGGCCCGAUACUGACGCUGAGGCGCGAAAGCUAGGGGAGCAAACGGG
rnacentral:rRNA from 1 species